CCUACGGGUGGCUGCAGUGGGGAAUAUUGGACAAUGGGGGGAACCCUGAUCCAGCCAUGCCGCGUGUGUGAAGAAGGCCCUCGGGUUGUAAAGCACUUUCAGUGAGGAAGAACGCCUGGUGGUUAAUACCCAUCAGGAAAGACAUCACUCACAGAAGAAGCACCGGCUAACGCCGUGCCAGCAGCCGCGGUAAUACGGAGGGUGCGAGCGUUAAUCGGAAUUACUGGGCGUAAAGCGCGCGUAGGUGGCUUGAUAAGCCGGUUGUGAAAGCCCCGGGCUCAACCUGGGAACGGCAUCCGGAACUGUCAAGCUAGAGUGCAGGAGAGGAAGGUAGAAUUCCCGGUGUAGCGGUGAAAUGCGUAGAGAUCGGGAGGAAUACCAGUGGCGAAGGCGGCCUUCUGGACUGACACUGACACUGAGGUGCGAAAGCGUGGGUAGCAAACAGGAUUAGAUACCCUGGUAGUC
rnacentral:rRNA from 1 species